CAGGAAGUUACCUGGUCCCUGGGCAGGUGGGGCUUCCAGGUUAAUUUGGGGCGUCCCACGAUCUUUCUACAUCCUUAUGCUGACGAUGGUCUUUCUGCCUCCAUCUUCUGAGUGCUGGGACAGUGCCAAGCUUCUCACAUGUCACCUUAAAAAUAUAGAAAGAUCAUGCAUUCAGGUUAGCCUUAUAGGCAAUGCAUUUUUUGACAUACUUUUCUGGAGGUUGCCACAUUCCUCAAAUUGAAAAAGGCCUCUGUGUAGCCUAAGGAACACGGCAGAGACACAAUGGAAAGGUCAUCGUUAUGAACCAGAGGCCCCAGCAAGACAGUGCUAUGUAACAAGAGCAUUACAGAAUCUUCUGAGUGCACAGAACCAUAGAAGCUUCUAGAAGCCAUACACAGCUUCUAGAAGUUUUAUAUUCUCUGGAAUCCUUGUUGACACCUGUCAGAAUUCUCACCUGAGUGAAGCACCUCUCUGUUCCACUUAAAUAUAUUAAGCUUUCAAGUCAACCAAAAAGCAAGUUGAAAACCGUUUGCAAAGCAGUGCUGGGCUCUGAGUGUGGGCUCGACACACUCAAAGUCUCUCCCACAUGCAUGCGCAUGUAAAUGGAGAGACUUUGUAACAAUGUCUACUUCACCAGCUCAGAGCUGUCCUUUUCAUUAGGUCUUGGUUCUUGCCUGUCUUCCUAACCAGUAUGAUUGCCCUGUAUUACCAUGUUGGAACACUUCCUAGGAAUAAUUAAAAUAAUGUGCAAACCUGUCAAGAAGUGAGAACACUUCAGUGGCAGACACGAAGCGAAAAGCACAAACAGGAGGAGGCUUAGGAGAACAGAGACUGGAGGCUAUGGGGAUGUGAAUAUGAUAAAAAGCUAACCACAGAAGCCUGAGGGUCCCCAGAGCCUACAUAAAUGGCUGCAUGUGGUGGCAGAGCCCCACAGAAGACAAGCCGAGACUCGAGAAUUACCCCAAUCUCAUAGGAUGUCCAGCAUGGAGUGUGAAAG
rnacentral:lncRNA from 1 species